GCCGCACGGACUCCUCUAAGUGUGCAGAUCAGAGCUGAGGGCUCCCACAGGCCCACAGGGCUGCAGGUGGCACUGCUUCUGUGCGAGGUGUACAAUAUAGUGGUUCAACAUUUCGACAGAAAUCACAAG